ACCCGCAGUGCUUUUUACGUGUGUAACAGUGAGCAAUUGACGGAAAUAAAAUACGGAUUCGACGCCCCUCACCCCCGAGCGACACGCCCUUCUUUUCGCAGCGACUCUUCCAAAAAAAUCCCCUUUCAUCUCCCCACCGCUGCCCGUCCCCAUCUGCCGUCUCCCUCUUGCCCCUCGGCGACACCGGCCGGCGGCGGCGACGGACGGCAUGGAUCCAGAGUUGUGCCCCUGGUUAUCCCCAUCUCUCGCACCCGAUGAAGGCCUCCCCACAGGCGCUACAACACGAACUCCCCCUCAUGGCGGCGACGCCGCGGCAGUGCGGCGGCCGAUUGGCGCAGGUACCGGUUCUAGGACGAGAUGGGGCCGCCGACCUCGAACUUACAAUCCUUGGCGGCGCCAGCCCAUCCCCUAAGCGCCAAGCACUGAGAGGACGUGCUCUUAUUCGGCGACAAUAUGGCUACUAUAGCGGCGUGCACAUCCAGGCAUGCCAUAUCCUUUCUCUGCUUGGACCCCUCUGUUUGAUUGACCAAGUAGGAAAACAAUUGGCCACCAGAAAUCAUGCGGACACCAAACCUCCCCUGAUUUCUGAAGGAGCAGCUUCAGCGAUGUAAACUGGUGCUGAUACUAUUCCACACCCAAAUCCAACAAAGAGCCUUCCAUGAAUCAAAACAUAACCUGCAGCAGCUCACAUAACCAGUAAACCAAGUGCGAACAUCAUGUCAGCAAGAAGAGUAGACUUUCAUACGACCGUAGGCAUGGCUUACGUAAUGACAUUCUAACAAUGGUUUACUGAAGAAGAAACAAACUUAGUAUCUAUGGACGAACACCAUCUGUUAAUGACCAGUAGUCGGUUGUUUAGAUUGAACGUGCAAGAAUAGAUUGUCUUUGACAGCAGGAAAUUCGUCCCAAAUAUACAGAAGGGCUCAUGAUAUGACACGUGGCAGUAGUUAUGCAUAAAAAUUGUACUGUUAUUUGACUUAUUUCAGGAAAGUAUCACAAGUUCCUAGGUGUGCAGCAAUCGCAGAAGCAGUGGAGAACAAGAUCCUUCAUAGCUUCUUGGAGAAGGAGGAUUUCGGAGAGCAUGUACAACCAGAUGGCAAAGUCGAUGUUAUCAUUCACUGACUGCCGCCUUCAUAGGAAAAUCAACGAGCAUGUUGCUGCAGCUUAAAGCCUUAAAUACUUCUGCUCCUAGCUAGCUAUAAAAUUAGAGCAGAUACAUGUAUAGGUAUAGUAGCAUCUGUUGCUUUAAGUUAAAAGUCUAAAGUUAUUUUAAUCUUGCUUGCACAUUAUUAGAAGGUAGUUGGAAAAGGCAUAUGUCAUUAUUUUUAGGAGUUGAGAAACUACUUGUCUUCCUAUCAUGGCUGCAAGCUGAAUGUAAGAAACUAGCAAUAGAUUGAAAUUUGCGAGAGCAGAUGCAUUGUUUGGUGUA